GACGAACGCUGGCGGCGUGCUUAACACAUGCAAGUCGAACGGAAAGGCCUUUUCGGAGGUACUCGAGUGGCGAACGGGUGAGUAACACGUGGGUGAUCUGCCCUGCACUCUGGGAUAAGCCUGGGAAACUGGGUCUAAUACCGGAUAGGACCGCACUUUAGUGUGUGUGGUGGAAAGUUUUUUCGGUGUAGGAUGAGCCCGCGGCCUAUCAGCUUGUUGGUGGGGUAAUGGCCUACCAAGGCGGCGACGGGUAGCCGGACUGAGAGGUUGGUCGGCCACAUUGGGACUGCGAUACGGCCCAGACUCCUACGGGAGGCAGCAGUGGGGAAUAUUGCACAAUGGGCGCAAGCCUGAUGCAGCGACGCCGCGUGGGGGAUGACGGCCUUCGGGUUGUAAACUCCUUUCGCCAGGGACGAAGCGUUUUGUGACGGUACCUGGAGAAGAAGCACCGGCUAACUACGUG
rnacentral:rRNA from 1 species